GAUCAUGCACAGGUUCUCCCACAGGGUCCGGUUCUCCGGGCAGGGAUCCUCUUUCCAACGUAGAAGCUCACAAAGCCACCCCUUCAGGAGAUGCGAUCCCUCUCGGCCUCGGGGAGCUGCAGGAAACCGUUCAUGGCCCUCAGGUUGACCAGCAGGGACUGGGAGGCGUGCUUUGGAUCCUCCUCCUUCCGUAGGAUCUCGGACAGAAGGCCCUAAUAAACACACACAACCUCACAUGUUGGAGCCAGAGUCUGACCCAGAGUGAG